rnacentral:rRNA from 1 species
UAGGGAAUCUUCGGCAAUGGGGGGAACCCUGACCGAGCAACGCCGCGUGAGUGAAGAAGGUUUUCGGAUCGUAAAGCUCUGUUGUUAAGGAAGAACGAGUGUGAGAAUGGAAAGUUCAUACUGUGACGGUACUUAACCAGAAAGGGACGGCUAACUACGUGCCAGCAGCCGCGGUAAUACGUAGGUCCCGAGCGUUGUCCGGAUUUAUUGGGCGUAAAGCGAGCGCAGGCGGUUAGAAAAGUCUGAAGUGAAAGGCAGUGGCUCAACCAUUGUAAGCUUUGGAAACUGUUUAACUUGAGUGCAGUAGGGGAGAGUGGAAUUCCAUGUGUAGCGGUGAAAUGCGUAGAUAUAUGGAGGAACACCGGUGGCGAAAGCGGCUCUCUGGUCUGUAACUGACGCAGAGGCUCGAAAGCGUGGGGAGCGAACAGG